UGAGGAAUAUUGGUCAAUGGGUGCAAGCCUGAACCAGCCAUCCCGCGUGAAGGACGACUGCCCUAUGGGUUGUAAACUUCUUUUGUAUAGGGAUAAACCUACCCUCGUGAGGGUAGCUGAAGGUACUAUACGAAUAAGCACCGGCUAACUCCGUGCCAGCAGCCGCGGUAAUACGGAGGGUGCAAGCGUUAUCCGGAUUUAUUGGGUUUAAAGGGUCCGUAGGCGGACUUAUAAGUCAGUGGUGAAAGCCUGCCGCUUAACGAUAGAACUGCCAUUGAUACUGUAAGUCUUGAGUAUAUUUGAGGUAGCUGGAAUAAGUAGUGUAGCGGUGAAAUGCAUAGAUAUUACUUAGAACACCAAUUGCGAAGGCAGGUUACCAAGAUAUAACUGACGCUGAGGGACGAAAGCGUGGGGAGCGAACA
rnacentral:rRNA from 1 species